rnacentral:lncRNA from 1 species
GAAGGUCUGAGGAUGAGGAGGUAAAGUCACUGUAAUGCCAGUUCUUCCCAUGAGGGGAACACUAUAGGGGAGGUUCUGAGUUACUAGAGAGAAUUCUCUCCCAGGUGCCUGGCUGGUGGGUCUAGCCCACAUGCUCAGGGUCCAGCUGAUAGCCAUAAUGUGGGUCAGGAAGGAAUUUUCCCCUGGAUCAGGUUGGCAGAGACUCUGGAUUAUUUUGCCUUUCUUUGCAGCAUGGGGCACAGGUCACUUGCAGAUUUAAACUAGUGUAAAUGGUGGAUUCUUUGUAAUUUGAAAUUGUUUAAUCCAUGAUUUGAGAACUUCAG